UCCAGUCACCACCUGGAGCCUCACACAGGCCCCUGCCAGGGACCCCCCCCCCUUCCUGCCAGUGUGCUUGCUGACAUUUCACCUCGGGGAGACAUUCCCUGCACCAGACCUCAAUUUGCAACCCCUUCCAACACUCCCCGUUCUCUGUAGUACUUAUCACCUCCUAACCUGCUUCUGAUCAGGGUGUCCCAACCUCAGCACUGUUGAGAUGUGGGGCUGACCAGCGCCGAGGGGCCUGUCCCGAGUACUGUGGGGUGUUUAGCAGCAUCCCUAGCCCUCUACCCACUAAAUUUAGUGGCAUCUUAUUCACUGUCGCGCUCCAGCGCCUAAAACAACGUCUGGCACAGGGCGAGCACUGAGAAAACAUAUUCUGAAUGAAAAAAGGCCGGGCACCUCCUUUGGACAGGCUAUAAAGAUUCCCUUUAAUAAGAUGAGCAUCCUCUUUAAAAUGUAGGGAAGUCCUUUUAAGAAAAGCUGCCCGUGCCUUUCGGAAGACCGAGCAUGCCUUAAACAAGAGGCGUCCGCCCCCUGCAAGAGCCGGGCCCAUCUUGCCCAAUGAAGAGCAUCCCCUUCGAAAGGCCGGACCACACCCUUCCAUCAGACCCGACUUCCCCUUUAAGAGGCUUCUCCCACCGCACACCAAUGUCCACCUUUGUUGAGCUAAGCUAGUGGAGUCUUGGAAGCCACCAGGACUCAGAAGCUAUUCCUUCGAUGUCUGGGACACUGUCCGUGACCUUUCACAAAAUAACCCAUCCUUAGAGGAUAAAAAGCGGGAAGCUGCGGGGAACUACAGAACCUCACCCAACGCUCCAAAAGCAGCCCCUUGCCCUUUAAGAGGGCGGAGCCGGCCUAGCGGACAAAAGUCGGAGGUUGUGCUGGGUCUUUGAAGCUGGGUCUAGAGGUCAGAGAUGUGAAAUGUCAGCGAUUCUCCUGCUGGCCUCGAAGCCGCCCAAUUCCAUGAGUUCUACAGAUGAAAGGAAAUGAAUUCUUCCAUGUGAGCCUGGAAGAGGACCCAACCUCAGAUGAGACAGCAGCCCCAGCCUACACCAUGAUCGCAGCCUCGUGAUCAAGUGCCUGGACUCCUGACCCAUGGCAACUGUGAGAAAAUUAGAGGAUAUUAUUUUAAGCCAUGGUAUUUAUGGUUAUUUGUGACACAACAUAGAUAACUAAUACACUUCUUGUGUUAGUUUGCUGGGGCUGCCCUAACAAGGCCCCACAGGCUGGGUGGUUUAAACAACAGAAAUUUAUUUUCUUAUAUUUGAGACUAGAAGUCCAAGAUCAAGGUGUUGGCAGGGUUGGUUUCUUCUGAGGCCUGUCUCCGUAGCUUGUCUUCUCCCUGUGUCUUCACAUGGCCUUCCCUGUAUCUGUCCGUGUCCAAAUUUCCUCUUCUUAUAAGGACACCAGGCAUACUGGUUUGGGCACAGAUAUAUGACUUGAUUUUAAAUUAAUUACCCCUUUAAAGACCUUAUUUCUGAACACAGUCACAUUUUGAGGUAUGGGGGUUAGGACUCCAAUGGACGAGUUUGGGGAGACACAACUUAGCCCAUACCGUGGUGUGAAACAAAUAUGACAGUGUUGGCCUCUGAGUUCUUGGUUGGGAACACCAGGAACCUGCCACCUGUAAAUUUUCACAAUAAAUUUUAAGAGAAACAAAGCCCCAUUGGA
rnacentral:lncRNA from 1 species